rnacentral:rRNA from 1 species
GCUCAUAUGUCUUAGCGGCGGACGGGUGAGUAACACGUGGGCAACCUGCCCUGCAGAUCGGGAUAACUCCGGGAAACCGGUGCUAAUACCGAAUAGUUUGGGGCCUCUCCUGAGGCCCCACGGAAAGACGGUUUCGGCUGUCACUGCAGGAUGGGCCCGCGGCGCAUUAGCUAGUUGGUGGGGUAAUGGCCCACCAAGGCGACGAUGCGUAGCCGACCUGAGAGGGUGAUCGGCCACACUGGGACUGAGACACGGCCCAGACUCCUACGGGAGGCAGCAGUAGGGAAUCUUCCGCAAUGGACGAAAGUCUGACGGAGCAACGCCGCGUGAGUGACGAAGGUUUUCGGAUCGUAAAACUCUGUUGUGAGGGAAGAACAAGUACCAAUUAACUACUGGUACCUUGACGGUACCUCACCAGAAAGCCACGGCUAACUACGUGCCAGCAGCCGCGGUAAUACGUAGGUGGCAAGCGUUGUCCGGAAUUAUUGGGCGUAAAGCGCGCGCAGGCGGUCCCUUAAGUCUGAUGUGAAAGCCCACGGCUCAACCGUGGAGGGUCAUUGGAAACUGGGGGACUUGAGUGCAGAAGAGGAAAGUGGAAUUCCAGGUGUAGC